UUGACCUCGGAUCAGGUAGGAAUACCCGCUGAACUUAAGCAU
rnacentral:rRNA from 53 species